CCAGUACUCCCUCCGUCCGGAAAUACUUGUCCUAAAAUUAAAUAUAAUAGAUGUACCUAUAACUAAAAUAAGUCUAGAUACAUUCAUUUCUAGGACAAAUAUUUCCGGACGAAGGGAGUACUCU
rfam:Hordeum vulgare subsp. vulgare, WGS project CAJW01000000 data, contig: morex_contig_38178